rnacentral:sRNA from 1 species
GUCCUCAUGGCUGCCCUGACUCUCUGAAGUGGCCUGGGGGCUCUGGGCUGACUGUGGGGGACACAUGGCCAUUUUGAGCACCACAUAGGCUGGUGAGCCCUGCUGCAGCCCAGGUGACAUCCUCACCCCACAGCCUGCACCCUAGGGAUGGGGUGUCUGCCUGAGCACAGCACUGGGGGCCUGGCCCCAGCAGCAGGUCCUGGAUGUGCUGAGUCUGGGCUGCCUGCGGUGACCUCUCUGAGAGGGGGUGGGGAUGUCAGGUGCAGCUGCAUACUGGGGACCCUGCAGCGAGCCCUAGGUGUGGACUCCUGAGUCGGCUUUUUGCCUUCCCAAUGUCUUUUUCCAGAGCUCACAACGGCCUGGGGCUGAGGACAAUGCCCUCAAUGAGAUCGUGAGUAUCUUGCAGCCCACCCAGGUCCCUGAGCAGGAAAUGGAAGUCCAGGAGCCAGCAGAGCCAACAGGUGUCAACAUGUCCCCAGGGGAGUCAGAGCAUCUGCCGGAACCGGCAGAAGCUGAAGGGUCUCAGAGGAGGAGGCUGCUGGUUCCAGCGAAUGAAGGUGAUCCCACUGAGACUCUGAGACAGUGCUUCGAUGACUUUGCAGACUUGGUGCCCUUUGACUCCUGGGAGCCGCUCAUGAGGAAGUUGGGCCUCAUGGACAAUGAGAUAAAGG